GAAGCGAUUGCACAACAGCGCUGGUGUGAUGUGUUGAUGAUAUGUAUCUCUCGUCCAUAUUAUGUUUGUGGAUAUCAGUCUGCAGAUCUUUCCCACUCUCUUCUCUGUCUGCCUCCAACACGGUUUUAUAUAACGGACAGAGUUGGCUGGCUUGUUUCCCGCCAGCGACUCCUUGCUGAGGUGCUGGUGCGACUCCGCCAGGCACUCCACCUCUGCAAAGCGAGCGUUGAGUGCCAUGGCUGGGUGGCUGGGGUCCUGGGUCAUGUUCAGUUUGCAGCUGAAGCCACUGAUUGCACCGACAAGUGUUGGAUGCAAUUCACCAUGUGAAGAUCUGAAGAAUCGCCACAAACUAAAAAAAGAAAAAGAAUAUUUACUUAUAAUCAAAACCUAACAUAAUCUAAGUGUCGUCUAAAAAAGAGACAACCCAAUACAGUAAUAAGUAUCUAUGAUAUAUCAGACAGGGAACUGAUUUUCAAUGUGAUUAACAGACUUGAAUAUUAUUGCUUAUAUUAC